GGGAAUAUACCCGAAGGUACGGAAUAGCCUCUGGAAACGGAGAGUAAUACCCUAUGAGCCCUUCGGGGGAAAGAUUUAUCGCCUUUGGAUUAGCCCGCGUUAGAUAAGGUAGUUGGUGGGGUAAUGGCCUACCAAGCCUACGAUCUAUAGCUGGUUUAAGAGGAUGAUCAGCAACACUGGGACUGAGACACGGCCCAGACUCCUACGGGAGGCAGCAGUGGGGAAUCUUGGACAAUGGGCGCAAGCCUGAUCCAGCCAUGCCGCGUGAGUGAUGAAGGCCUUAGGGUCGUAAAGCUCUUUCGCCAGGGAUGAUAAUGACAGUACCUGGUUAAGAAACCCGGGCUAACUCCGUGCCAGCAGCCGCGGUAAUACGGAGGGGGUUAGCUUUGUUCGGAAUUACUGGGCGUAAAGCGCGCGUAGGCGGAUCAGAAAGUUGGGGGUGAAAUCCCGGGGCUCAACCCCGGAACUGCCUCCAAAACUCUUGGUCUGGAGUACGAGAGAGGUGAGUGGAAUUCCGAGUGUAGAGGUGAAUUUCGUAGAUAUUCGGAGGAACACCAGUGGCGAAGGCGGCUCACUGGAUCGAUACAGACGCUGAGGUGCGAAAGUGUGGGGAGCAAACAGGAUUAGAUACCCUGGUAGUCCACACCGUAAACGAUGAAUGCCCGUCGUCAGCAAGCAUGCUUGUUGGUGACACACCUUA
rnacentral:rRNA from 1 species